rnacentral:rRNA from 1 species
UACGGGGGGGGCAAGCGUUGUUCGGAAUUACUGGGCGUAAAGGGUUCGUAGGCGGCUAACUAAGUCAGACGUGAAAUCCCUCGGCUUAACCGGGGAACUGCGUCUGAUACUGGAUGGCUUGAGUUCGGGAGAGGGAUGCGGAAUUCCAGGUGUAGCGGUGAAAUGCGUAGAUAUCUGGAGGAACACCGGUGGCGAAGGCGGCAUCCUGGACCGAUACUGACGCUGAGGAGCGAAAGCCAGGGGAGCAAACGGG